rnacentral:lncRNA from 1 species
AUGAAGCUGGUUUCUCCCCCCUUUCUUCGCAUGUUAGCACAGAAACAAAAAGGCGGUGGGCCCCAUAUUAAAGCAGUCUCUCUCCCAAAUUUCUUUCCAAACCAAACAGAAGAAGUUUGACAUCUCUCUCCAACUUCUUUCUCUCCAACUCCUCUCUCCCCUUUUUCACCUCAAACAAACACAGUGUAAAUGUUGUGGUUCUUCUUCUUCUUGUAUUGUUCCAAUUCCAUCUCUGAAUAUGGUGAGUGAUUACCAAUUUAAUUAGAAUUUGAAUUUGAAAGAAUAAGGAUAAAAAUGUAUGAAAAAAUAAGUGAAUGUUUUUUUUCUUUAUGAUGAACGAAUGAAAGAAAGGAAAUAAAAAUUCUUAUUUCUUCUUUGUGAUGAAUGAAUGAAUGAAAGAAUAAUAAAUUUAGAGAUGC